CCUACGGGUGGCAGCAGUGAGGAAUAUUGCACAAUGGCGGAAACCCUGAUGCAGCGACGCCGCGUGAGUGAAGAAGUACUUCCGUAUGUAAAGCUCUAUCAGCCGGGAAGAAAAUGACGGUACCUGAGUAAGAAGCCGCGGCUAACUACGUGCCAGCAGCCGCGGGAAUACGGAGGGGGCCGGCGUUAUCCGGAUUUACUGGGGGUAAAGGGAGCGUAUACGGCAGUGCAAGUCUGGAGUGAAAGGCGGGGGCUCAAACCCCGGACUGCUCUGGAAACUGUACGGCUUGAGUGCAGGAGAGGUAAGUGGAAUUCCUAGUGUAGCGGUGAAAUGCGUAGAUAUUAGGAGGAACACCAGUGGCGAAGGCGGCUUACUGGACUGUAACUGACGUUGAGGCUCGAAAGCGUGGGGAGCAAACAGGAUUAGAUACCCUUGUAGUC
rnacentral:rRNA from 1 species